rnacentral:ncRNA from 1 species
CAGCGUUGAAGCAAUUGGUGGGGUCAGCGUCCGUACAAUUGCGGAGCUUUGAACGAGGGUUUGGGACAUAUCCACAAGCUGACGUAGGAGGAAUCCGAAAGAAAAUGUCCUUUCA